rnacentral:rRNA from 1 species
AUGUGAUCGUCUCUCGCAUAUCAAUAAGCGGAGGAAAAGAAACUAACAAGGAUUCCCCUAGUAACGGCGAGUGAAGCGGGAAGAGCUCAAAUUUGAAAUCUUAAAGGGUUUCCCUUUACGAAUUGUAGUUUAAAGAAGUGUUUUCUGUUGAGGUUUUGGUAAAAGUUCUUUGGAAUAGGACAUCAUAGAGGGUGAGAAUCCCGUAUUUGACCUUUACUUUCAACUUUGUGAUACACUUUCAAAGAGUCGGAUUGUUUGGGAAUGCAGUCCAAAAUGGGUGGUAAAUUUCAUCCUAAAGCUAAAUAUUGGCGAGAGACCGAUAGCGAACAAGUACCGUGAGGGAAAGAUGAAAAGAACUUUGAAAAGAGAGUUAAACAGUACGUGAAAUUGUCAAAAGGGAAGCGUUUGACACCAGUGUUGUUUUUCUGAAAAUCAAUUAAAGAACUGUUUAUGCUAAGUUGUUUAGACUUUAUCAGCUAACUGUUUAGUUUUGAGCUUUUCUUUAAUGCACUUUUCAGUUAACGAAGUCAACAUCAAUUUCUUUUGCUGUAAAAAAGCUUGAGGAAGGUGGCUUGAGAUUCGUCUUAAGUGUUUAUAGCCUCUUGCCUAUGCAGUCGGAGAGAUUGAGGUCUGCAGCGUAGAUCCUUCGGGGCUAAAUGCAUUUGUGCUAAGUUAUAGCAUUUUAUAGACAACUUGUUGACUAUGAUUUGUCUUGUAGCUUACUCGCUUAUGUUAUUUUACCUACGCUUAGGAUGUUGAAGUCAUCGUAUCGCGC